rnacentral:lncRNA from 1 species
AGAUAUUGUAGGUCUUUUAUCAUUAAGUAUGAAAUCGAUUCAACUUACUUUCUAAAUUACAGCAGCUAAUGGUUAUCAAAUAUUUUAAUACUGUCGCUUAAAAUUACAGCUGUCUAAUUUCAAUAUCAAAUAAGAUAUUAAUUUGUGAUAAGAGAUUAAAGUAAUUGAAACUAAAUGAAGUGGAUCUACUUAUACAUGGAAGAGAAUCAAUCUCACAUUUUGUAUGAAACAACGAUCACUGCUACUUUUGCAUACAGUAAAUGAUGCAAUUUGAAAUUUGAUCAAAGAGGGACGAAUUCAAAAGAGAAAUUUCAAUAAAAAUAAUAACUAAGUUUAAUGAAAUAAAAGAGAAUAAAUUGGAAAGAAGUCAUGAUUUAGGUAUAAAAGGGAAGGAAUAAAAAUUAAAAAAAGCAUAAGCAUCGGAAAUUUGGACAAAAUGGAUAAACAAAAAUUACAAGGGAAGUUUCGCUUUACAUAAUCGAAAUUUUGAAAAAUUAGAAGGGGCUAUUAAGAUAAAACAACUUCAAAAUUUAUCCUUUUAAAAAGGAAUAGAAACUUUGGCAGAGCCCAUCCUAGCCCUUAAUUGGCCCUGCUCAUAAUCUUCUUGCAUGAUAAAAGGCAUAAUUUACGAUUAAAUAACUGUGGUUCUUAAUUAACAAUUGUAGUUUAAGGAUAAAUUUUGGAUCACAACUCUUGCAAAAUAACUUUUUUUAUAAGAAAAAGGUAGGGUAGGUAAAUGAAACCUUUUAUGCUUUAUACACAAGGGAGCUGCUACCUUACAUUAGCAAAAUCCUAUACAUAAAGUUAUGUUUGUGGUUUUAUAAAGUGGAACCCACAAAUGCCAAGAAUUGCUGCGUGGUUGAUGGUGUUGAUUGGGUAGAAUCGGCGGUUGGGGGCCGCGGUAUGACAGCUGGUGCUUAUCUGAAACCGCGUCCAUGUGAUGUGACUCAACUUCAACUCUCACUCGCCGCUUCUUUUAUUUUUAUAUUCUCUUCAUGAUAUUAUUCUCUUCGGAAAUUUCUUUUUUCUUUUUCUAUUUUGUAUGGUUUCGGUUUGGGUUGUUUCCAUUUUAGUAUUUUACACACUUUUUAAUGCGUGUCGAUAAAUAACCCGACCCAAUUCAAAAAAUUUAGGUUCAGGUAAGACGUGGAUGUAGGGUCUCAAUCGAUUGGAUCAUAGUCAAAUUACAAGCGAAUUAUUUUUUUCCAAUCAAAUCAACUUGAAAUUCAAUAGGGUUGAUCCAAAUUUGAUUGGAAGUUAAAUUUGCCUACUCCUAUUUUUUAUUAUCUUAAAUCUCUUACAUUAUUAAGG